AACGAACGCUGGCGGCAUGCCUAACACAUGCAAGUCGAACGAGACCUUCGGGUCUAGUGGCGCACGGGUGCGUAACGCGUGGGAACCUGCCCUUAGGUUCGGAAUAACUCCCCGAAAGGGGUGCUAAUACCGGAUAAUGUCUUCGGACCAAAGAUUUAUCGCCUUUGGAUGGGCCCGCGUUGGAUUAGCUAGUUGGUAGGGUAAAAGUCUACCAAGGCGACGAUCCAUAGCUGGUCUGAGAGGAUGAUCAGCCACACUGGGACUGAGACACGGCCCAGACUCCUACGGGAGGCAGCAGUGGGGAAUAUUGGACAAUGGGCGAAAGCCUGAUCCAGCAAUGCCGCGUGAGUGAUGAAGGCCUUAGGGUUGUAAAGCUCUUUUACCCGGGAUGAUAAUGACAGUACCGGGAGAAUAAGCGCCGGCUAACUCCGUG
rnacentral:rRNA from 1 species